UACGAAGGGGGCUAGCGUUGCUCGGAAUCACCGGGCGUAAAGCGCACGUAGGCGGCCUCUUAAGUCGGUGGUGAAAUCCUGGAGCUCAACUCCAGAACUGCCUUCGAUACUGGGAGUCUCGAGUCCGGGAGAGGUGAGUGGAACUGCGAGUGUAGAGGUGAAAUUCGUAGAUAUUCGCAAGAACACCAGUGGCGAAGGCGGCUCACUGGCCCGGUACUGACGCUGAGGUGCGAAAGCGUGGGGAGCAAACAGG
rnacentral:rRNA from 1 species